rnacentral:tRNA from 1 species
UUAAUUGAAACCAAAGAGAGGUAUAUCACUGUUAAUGAUAAUAUUGAGAAUAAUUCUCCAAUUAAA